CCCUUAGAUGUUCUGGGCCGCACGCGCGCUACACUGAUGCAUUCAACGAGUCUAAAACCUGGUCUGAUAGGGCUGGGUAAUCUUUUGAAUGUGCAUCGUGAUUGGGAUAGAUGAUUGCAAUUCUUCAUCUUCAACGAGGAAUGCCUAGUAAACGCAAGUCAUCAGCUUGCAUUGAUUACGUCCCUGCCCUUUGUACACACCGCCCGUCGCUCCUACCGAUUGAAUGUUCCGAUGAAUACCAUGGACUGAGAGUAUGAAUGGGCUCGCCUAUUUCUGCUUCUCGGGAAGUGGAGUAAAUCUUAACAUUUAGAGGAAGGAGAAGUCGUAACA
rnacentral:rRNA from 1 species